AACGAACGCUGGCGGCAUGCCUAACACAUGCAAGUCGAACGAGACCUUCGGGUCUAGUGGCGCACGGGUGCGUAACGCGUGGGAACCUGCCCUUAGGUUCGGAAUAACUCCCCGAAAGGGGUGCUAAUACCGGAUAAUGUCUUCGGACCAAAGAUUUAUCGCCUUUGGAUGGGCCCGCGUUGGAUUAGCUAGUUGGUAGGGUAAAAGCCUACCAAGGCGACGAUCCAUAGCUGGUCUGAGAGGAUGAUCAGCCACACUGGGACUGAGACACGGCCCAGACUACUACGGGAGGCAGCAGUGGGGAAUAUUGGACAAUGGGCGAAAGCCUGAUCCAGCAAUGCCGCGUGUGUGAUGAAGGCCUUAGGGUUGUAAAGCUCUUUUACCCGGGAUGAUAAUGACAGUACCGGGAGAAUAAGCUCCGGCUAACUCCGUG
rnacentral:rRNA from 1 species